GGGAAUAUAGCUUAGUGGUAGAGUGCUUGCCUAGCAUGCAUGAAGCCCUGGGUUCGAUUCCUCAGUACCA
rnacentral:tRNA from 1 species